rnacentral:rRNA from 1 species
UGGGGAAUAUUGCACAAUGGGCGCAAGCCUGAUGCAGCCAUGCCGCGUGUAUGAAGAAGGCCUUCGGGUUGUAAAGUACUUUCAGCGGGGAGGAAGGGAGUAAAGUUAAUACCUUUGCUCAUUGACGUUACCCGCAGAAGAAGCACCGGCUAACUCCGUGCCAGCAGCCGCGGUAAUACGGAGGGUGCAAGCGUUAAUCGGAAUUACUGGGCGUAAAGCGCACGCAGGCGGUUUGUUAAGUCAGAUGUGAAAUCCCCGGGCUCAACCUGGGAACUGCAUCGGAUACUGGCAAGCUUGAGUCUCGUAGAGGGGGGUAGAAUUCCAGGUGUAGCGGUGAAAUGCGUAGAGAUCGGGAGGAAUACCGGUGGCGAAGGCGGCCCCCUGGACGAAGACUGACGCUCAGGUGCGAAAGCGUGGGGAGCAAACAGG